rnacentral:rRNA from 1 species
AACGGACGCUGGCGGCAGGCUUAACACAUGCAAGUCGAACGCCCCGCAAGGGGAGUGGCAGACGGGUGAGUAACGCGUGGGAAUCUACCGUGCCCUACGGAACAACAGUUGGAAACGACUGCUAAUACCGUAUACGCCCUACGGGGGAAAGAUUUAUCGGGGUAUGAUGCGCCCGCGUUGGAUUAGCUAGUUGGUGGGGUAAAGGCCUACCAAGGCGACGAUCCAUAGCUGGUCUGAGAGGAUGAUCAGCCAAAUUGAGACUGAGACACGGCCCAAACUCCUACGGGAGGCAGCAGUGGGGAAUAUUGGACAAUGGGCGCAAGCCUGAUCCAGCCAUGCCGCGUGAGUGAUGAAGGUCUUAGGAUUGUAAAGCUCUCUCACCGACGAAGAUAAUGACGGUAGUCGGAGAAGAAGCCCCGGCUAACUUCGUGCCAGCAGCCGCCGUAA